rnacentral:rRNA from 1 species
AAGAGAAGCGAAACCGCGAGGUGGAGCAAGACUAUAAAAGCGAUCUCAGUUCGGACUGCAGGCUGCAACUCGCCUGCACGAAGUUGGAAUUGCUAGUAAUCGUGGAUCAGCAUGCCACGGUGAAUACGUUCCCGGGUCUUGUACACACCGCCCGUCACACCAUGGGAGCCGGUAAUACCCGAAGUCAGUAGUCUAACCGCAAGGAGGACGCUGCCGAAGGUAGGAUUGGCGACUGGGGUGAAGUCGUAACAAGGUACC